CAAUAGCGUAUAUUGAAGUUGUUGCGGUUAAAAAGCUCGUCGUUGGAUUUCUGUUGAGGUCGAACCGUGCCGCCCUAUGGGUGCGCAACUGGCUCGGCUUCGGCAUCUUCUUGGAGAGCGCAUCUGCACUUAACUGUGUGGAUCGUACUUCAAGUCAGUUACUUUGAGGAAUUGUGAGUGUUUCAAGCAGGCUUACGCCGUUGAAUCCGUUAGCAUGGAAUAAUAGGAUAGGACCUCGGUUCUAUUUUGUUGGUUUUGAGAGCUGGGGCAGCGAUUGAUAGGGACGGAUGGGGGCGUCCGAACUUUACUGUCAGAGGUGAAAUUCUUAGAUCGGUCAAAGGCGAACUACUGCGAACGCAUUCGCCAAGAAUGUUUUCUUUA
rnacentral:rRNA from 1 species